UAUUACCACAAACUACACACCAGGUGGAUAUUUUCAGACAUCUAUUUGGGGUCCAAAUUAUGCUCACUCAUAUAAUGCGCCCAAAAGUAUGAAUCUAUAUGAAGCAGAGGCAAAUGCUAUAUAUGAUCUCUUAAAACAUACAACAAAUGUUCUUGGAUAUACCAUUGUCGACGACAAUUAUGAAACACUGAAUCAGAUGGUAUGUGAAAUAAACAGAUACAAUGCUGAAAUUAAUGAAUUACAGACC
rnacentral:lncRNA from 1 species